UGUUAAGAGAAUUGCUUUCCC
rnacentral:piRNA from 1 species